GUGAAGUGACUCUCAGAGCUGUUCUGGAGACGUUGUUUAUGUAUUUUUGUCCUCAUUGAGACGGCAGAUGCUGAAAUCACCGCGAGUGUCACACGCGCUUCAUGUAGUAAAAAAAAAAAAAACGCGUCUCUGCCAUUCAUUCAUUAAUUCAAACAGAGGCUUGCAGAACAUGCAAGAUUCAUAUCUGAAUCGACUUUUGCGGCUUAAUAUUUACAGAUACUAAUCCAUGUCGCGAUUUAAUUUAAGUGUAAUGACCUACUUUUGAUUAAUUCAUCCAAACUUUGACAAAUUCCGUGACAUUCCGUGCUAAACUGUAAAUUCCGUUUUUAUAACUGGAUUCCGAGAUUCCGUCCGUGUUUUCUGCAUCGCGGAAAUCAUAGGUCUGUACGCGUCAAGAACUGGGUUGACCGGGUACUCGGUACCACCGGUACUUACAAAAACCUGCUCUCUUUAGAUUACUGUAAAUGCAGUAGAGUGACAUCAUGAAGAGGCUCACCCAGGAAUGAUGUACGGGUCAGGCUGGAGGUCUCCUGAUCGGACACCAGAGCAGUUGAUGAUAACAUCAGCACCACUAUCUGCCAACUGAAGCCAAUUUUCCAGAGAUACGGCUGCCAGAGUCCAGCUGCCCCGUCGCUGGUGGUGAGUGGAGUGAAGACAUCAGCAUACACCUCUAUGGUGAGGGGGGUGAUCCUGCUGUGGAAGUGCUGGUAGAUGCUCUGAGCGGUGGAGAGG